AACGAACGCUGGCGGCAUGCCUAACACAUGCAAGUCGAACGAAGGCUUCGGCCUUUUUGGCGCACGGGUGCGUAACGCGAGGGAAUCUUCCCUUUUCUUCGGAAUAACUGUUAGAAAUGACUGCUAAUACCGGAUGAUGUCUCAAAACCAAAGAUUUAUCGGCAAAGGAUGAGCCCGCGUAGGAUUAGCUGGUUGGGAGGGUAAUGGCAUACCACGGGGACGAUCGUUAGCUGGUCUGAGAGACUGAUCAGCGACACCGGGACUAAGAAGCGGCCCAGAAUCCUACGGGAGGGGGCAGAGCGGGAUAUUGGAACAUGGCGGGAAGCAUGAUCGAGCACUGACGGGUGAGUGCUGAAAGCAUUAGGGUAGUAAAGCUCUUUUAACCAGGAUGGUAAUGACGGUACCGGGAGAAUAAGCCCCGGCUAACUACGUG
rnacentral:rRNA from 1 species